AAUUAGUGGAGAACGUACAAUAUACACAGACAAAUACAAGAGGUCGAGAGAGCCCUGCCCGUAAGCUGAUAACUAGCCAUUGGAAAAAAAGUACUUAGCUAGAUAGCCCAUGAGCUUACAAUCUCAUGUACUGACAUAAGAGGUUCCUUAUAGUCCACUUGUCCUUAAUAUAUCAGGACCAUGUAUUUCAAUUUGUAACAAAAAUAUUUUUAAAGAAGAGUUGUUCCAAAUGUAACAAAAUUACUUUAGGUUUGUAAAAGUGUUCCACCUUUCAUUUUUUCAUUUUUUGGGGGGAAAAUAAAGAAAAAAUAAGAAAAGAAGAAAAACAAACAUUUUUUUUCCAUGGCUUCAAAAUUUCAGAAAAUGUUCCAUCUCUAG